AAUAGUAUGAGGUCUCUAGCGAAUUUUAUAUUGAUUGUCGCUGUCAUAUGGUACAGUCAGCAGCAGAUAUACCUGAGCGGGCAAGGUGUCCAAGAAAACAUAUACACUUCAAUCGUCACAAAAAUAAGGACAUCUAAGUUGUCAUUUUAGCGUAGGCUUUCAGUUCGUCACAUAUAUCUUAACUUCUGAGUUUUUCUUUAACACAUACACCCUUAUUUAAUCACAAUGACAAUAACGGUUAGAAAUUCAGUGGUAACUAAGCACUCAAAUUCAAGCUGCUGUCAUUAAUACCUACACGCACUGCCAAUCACGUACGUCACCAGCCAGGGUGCCACCAGUUGCUAAGCAGUUGUUAUUUCAAUGGUAACUAAGCAUCAACAUUUUAUCUGUUUAACUUUAAAAAGAAUACUGUAGCAACUACGAAUUGACACCUCCUUUCUUAAGAAGUAUUUUAUCGUCAAGUGUCAAACUUAGACAAUAAAUAAGCACUUAGGUUCUACGAGAAUGAUAGGUUUUUUAUUUUAACUAUCAUAGGCGGCCGUUCUUCCAAACCGUAGAGCAUAUUAUAUGUUAAUAUAUUUAUUAAGCCCGCUUAUUGUACUAAAAUAUACUAUAUAGUACUAAAAUACGAUGCUCCGAAUCGAUCAAAGAACAAAGGAGAAAAUAAUAGAAUUUAAACUUAACACGUUCACUGUCCCAAUCUGACAUGUAAACCUUAUGGCUUUGUAAUAGAGGCUAGCCGUGGCCCCACGUGAGGAGCACGGGCAGUAAAGCAAACGCCUUAGUAACAAGUCCACAACGUGCCUUGACAAUUGGCUCUAAAUUCGGCUUCAGUUAGCUUUCGCUAUGUGUCACUCAUUCGUUUUGAUGAUUCUAUUCAAUAAAAGAAAUAGUUUGCAGUAAGUUGACUGACAGGCCCCUGUCAAUGGUUGAAGGGCAAAACGUGAGAUAGAUGUAUGUGAUGACAAGACUGUACUGCUUUCGAUGAUUGUCAAACCGCUUUACCUAAAAUUAGUAUAGCUAUCAUUCAUUCAAUAUACGACCAUACAUGUAUGCUUUAAACGUCUAUUUUUCCAUAUUGUUCAGAUAUAUUUGACACGAUGACCGCUUAGAUACCAGUGGUUUUUCGACAGCUAAGGUAUCAAUGAUUUGUUGUAAGUGUAGAAAUUAAUGAAUAGCGACUGUUAAGAUAUUUGUGACAUGUUGAGCGCUCACAAGUAAAUGCUACCAUGACAGUCAACAACUUUUUGACAGUUUAAACGUUUACCUCUCUUUGAGCACCUGGAGUGUAUAGCGACUUCUGCUGCUGACUGUAG